GGCAUGGUGGCUUAGUGGUUCACAUGUUCGCCUCGCACGUUCAGGGUUGGGGGUUCGAUUCCCGCCUCCGCCC